rnacentral:lncRNA from 1 species
AGAUCAGGAUGUUUAUUUGUUGAAUGUUGGAGAUAGUAGAGCUGUUUUAGCACAAAAUCCUGAAUCUGAUAUUUCUAUUAGCAAGUUGAGAAGGAUAAAUGAGCAGAGUGUAAAUAGCAUUGAUGCACUUUAUCGACAAAAUCAGGAAUCUGAUAUUUCUAUUAGCAAGUUGAGAAGGAUAAAUGAGCAGAGUGUAAAUAGCAUUGAUGCACUUUAUCGAGCUGAAUCUGAUCGUAAACAUAAUCUAGUUCCUUCUCAACUUACUAAGGAUCAUAGCACAUCGAUUAA